rnacentral:rRNA from 1 species
AUUGAACGCUGGCGGCAUGCUUUACACAUGCAAGUCGAACGGUAACAGGUUAAGCUGACGCGUGGCGAACGGGUGAGUAAUGCAUCAGAACGUGCCCGGUCGUGGGGGAUAACGCAGCGAAAGCUGCGCUAAUACCGCAUACGAUCUGAGGAUGAAAGCGGGGGACCGUAAGGCCUCGCGCGAUCGGAGCGGCCGAUGUCAGAUUAGGUAGUUGGUGGGGUAAAGGCUCACCAAGCCAACGAUCUGUAGCUGGUCUGAGAGGACAACCAGCCACACUGGGACUGAGACACGGCCCAGACUCCUACGGGAGGCAGCAGUGGGGAAUUUUGGACAAUGGGCGAAAGCCUGAUCCAGCAAUGCCGCGUGCAGGAAGAAGGCCUUCGGGUUGUAAACUGCUUUUGUACGGAGCGAAAAGGUCUCCUCUAAUACAGGGGGCUCAUGACGGUACCGUAAGAAUAAGCACCGGCUAACUACGUGCCAGCCGCCGCUGUAA